GAAAAUAAAUAAGAGUAAGUAAGAGGAAAAGGAGAAGGAAAAAAAGGAAAAUAAAUAAGGUUAAGUAAGAGGAAAGGGAGAAGGAAAAAAAGGAAAAUAAAUAAGGUUAAGUAAGAGGAAAGGGACAAGGAAAAAAGAAAAAUAAAUAAGGGUAAGUAAGAGGAAAGGGAGAAGGAAAAAAGGAAAAUAAAUAAGGAUAAGUAAGAGGAAAGGGAGAGGGAAAAAAAGGAAAAUAAAUAAAGAUAAGUAAGAGGAAAAGGAGAGGAAAAAAGGAAAAUAAAUAAGGGUAAGUAAGAGGAAAGGGAGAAGGAAAAAAAGGAAAAUAAAUAAGGUUAAGUAAGAGGAAAGGGAGAAGGAAAAAAAGGAAAAUAAAUAAGGGUAAGUAAGAGGAAAAGGAGAAGGAAAAAAAGGAAAAUAAAUAAAGAUAAGUAAGAGGAAAAGGAGAGGAAAAAAGGAAAAUAAAUAAGGGUAAGUAAGAGGAAAAGGAGAAGGAAAAAAGGAAAGUAAAUAAGGGUAAGUAAGAGGAAAGGGAGAAGGAAAAAAGGAAAAUAAUUAAGGGUAAGUAAGAAGAAAAGGAGAGGGAAAAAAGGAAGAUAAAUAAGGUUAAGUAAAAGGAAAAGGAGAAGGAAAAAAGGAAAAUAAAUAAGGGUAAGAAGAAAAGGAGAGAGAAAAAAGGAAAAUAAAUAAGGUUAAGUAAGAGGAAAGGGAGAGGGAAAAAAAGGAAAAUAAAUAAGGGUAAGUAAGAGGAAAGGGAGAGGGAAAAAAAGGAAAAUAAAUAAGGUUAAGUAAGAGGAAAAGGAGAAGGAAAAAAAGGAAAAUAAAUAAGUGUAAGUAAGAGGAAAGGGAGAGGAAAAAAAUAAAUAAGGUUAAAUAAGAGGAAAAGGAGAAGGAAAAAAAGGAAAAUAAAUAAGGGUAAGUAAAAGGAAAAGGAGAGGGAAAAAAAGGAAAAUAAUCAAGGGUAAGUAAGAGGAAAAGGAGAAGGAAAAAAUGAAAAUAAAUAAAGGUAAGUAAAAGGAGAGAGAGAAGGAAAAAAAGGAAAAUAAAUAAGGGUAAGUAAGAGGAAAGGGAGAAGGAAAAAAGGAAAAUAAUUAAGGGUAAGUAAGAAGAAAAGGAGAGGGAAAAAAGGAAGAUAAAUAAGGUUAAGUAAGAGGAAAAGGAGAAGGAAAAAAGGAAAAUAAAUAAGGGUAAGAAGAAACGGAGAGGGAAAAAAGGAAGAUAAAUAAGGUUAAGUAAGAGAAAAAGGAGAAGGAAAAAAAAGGAAAAUAAAUAAGGGUAAGUAAGAGGAAAGGGAGAGGGAAAAAAAGGAAAAUAAAUAAGGUUAAGUAAGAGGAAAAGGAGAAGGAAAAAAGGAAAAUAAAUAAGAUUAAGUAAGAGGAAAAGGAGAAGUAAAAAAGGAAAACAAAUAUGGGUAAGUAAGAGGAAAAGGAGAAGGAAAAAAGGAAAAUAAAUAUGGGUAAGUAAGAGGAAAGGGAGAAGGAAAAAGAGAAAGGUAACACAUUGAAAAAGAAUGAAGAGGAGAAGAAAAGGAAGAGGAAAGAACAAAUAAAGGGUGAUAAGAAGAGAUGG